UACGUAGGCAGCGAGCGUUGUUCGGAGUUACUGGGCGUAAAGCGUGCGUAGGCGGUGGUCCAAGUCUGGUGUGAAAUCUCCCGGCUCAACUGGGAGGGUGCGCCGGAAACUGGGCCGCUGGAGUACGGGAGAGGCAAGCGGAAUUCCAGGUGUAGCGGUGAAAUGCGUAGAUAUCUGGAGGAACACCCAUGGCGAAGGCAGCAAACUGGUCCGUAUCUGACGCUGAGGCGCGAAAGCGUGGGUAGCAAACAGG
rnacentral:rRNA from 1 species